CACGUAUGAGAACAAAGCAGGCAACCAGGAUGAUUACUCCCAAAUCAUUGACAAAAGGAGAGAGAAGUACAGAGAUACAGUGAUUGGGGGUUGCCAAAAAGUUGCACGAGUGUUUCAACUGGAUAUUGCAACUGAAGACAUUCACUCUGCAUUGAUCACCUAUGGAGUGAUCAACUUUCAACCCUUUGAAGUUUCCUAAAUUGCUGCUCUGGCCAAGGCACCUUGCUGAAAUCUCCACUUCCACUUGUGCACCCUGCCAAGCCACUCUCUACACAGCUGCCAGAGUGAUUACAAAAAUAACACGGGAUUAUGCUACCCCUGC
rnacentral:lncRNA from 1 species